rnacentral:rRNA from 1 species
CCUACGGGUGGCAGCAGUAGGGAAUAUUGCUCAAUGGGCGAAACCCUGAAGCAGCAACGCCGCGUGGAGGAUGAAGGCUUUCGGAUUGUAAACUCCUUUUGUUAGAGAAGAUAAUGACGGUAUCUAACGAAUAAGCACCGGCUAAUUACGUGCCAGCAGCCGCGGUAAUAAGGAGGGUGCAAGCGUUACUCGGAAUAACUGGGGGUUAAGAGCGCGUAGGCGGGAUAGCAAGUCAGAUGUGAAAUCCUAGGGCUUAACCAUAGAACUGCAUUUGAAACUGUUAUUCUAGAGUAUGGGAGAGGUAGGUGGAAUUCUUGGUGUAGGGGUAAAAUCCGUAGAGAUCAAGAGGAAUACUCAUUGCGAAGGCGGCCUGCUGGAACAUAACUGACGCUGAUGCGCGAAAGCGUGGGGAGCAAACAGGAUUAGAUACCCUUGUAGUC